AGACCCGAAACCCGGUGAUCUAGCCAUGGGCAGGUUGAAGGUUGGGUAACACUAACUGGAGGACCGAACCGACUAAUGUUGAAAAAUUAGCGGAUGACCUGUGGCUGGGGGUGAAAGGCCAAUCAAACCGGGAGAUAGCUGGUUCUCCCCGAAAGCUAUUUAGGUAGCGCCUCGUGAAUUCAUCUCCGGGGGUAGAGCACUGUUUCGGCUAGGGGGCCAUCCCGGCUUACCAACCCGAUGCAAACUGCGAAUACCGGAGAAUGUUAUCACGGGAGACACACGGCGGGUGCUAACGUCCGUCGUGAAGAGGGAAACAACCCAGACCGCCAGCUAAGGUCCCAAAGUCAUGGUUAAGUGGGAAACGAUGUGGGAAGGCCCAGACAGCCAGGAUGUUGGCUUAGAAGCAGCCAUCAUUUAAAGAAAGCGUAAUAGCUCACUGGUCGAGUCGGCCUGCGCGGAAGAUGUAACGGGGCUAAACCAUGCACCGAAGCUGCGGCAGCGAACGUAUCACCCAAGACAACUUUACGGAGUUGACGAUUGACGGAGCGAAGCGACGUCAAAGCGUUCA
rnacentral:rRNA from 7 species